AUGGGCGAAAAUGAGGAUGAUGCGCAUGCAAUUGCCAUUUGGUCUUCAUGCGUCCCCAACCGCGUAAAGAUCUUUGCAUGGCUCCUGUUCCAUGGACGUCUCAACUCCAAAUGCAACCUCCUCCGCAAGCACAUCGUCACAGACUCCCUUUGUCCACGAUGUGGUUUCGACGGCGAGACCAGCUCACACAUCUUCAUCGACUGCCCGCUCGCUCAGAGAAUUUGGCAAAGGAUUGGACUAUCACCCCCCACUUCCAUUGAUGAUCUAUGGGAUUGCCGUCUACCCGCCCAGGUGGAUGCAACGAUAUGGCACUCCGUCCUUCUCAUUAUCUUAUGGAAGAUCUGGGAUGCAAGAAAUGCUAUGACAUUCAAGCAACAAAACCACCACAGUGCCUCCACCUUGAAGCGAAUCCUGGACGACUUGAUGCUUUGGACGCACCGGAUGAGAAAACCGGAUCAUAAACAGGCCGCCCUUUCAUGGCGCUCCUACUUCUUUUCACGAUUACACGUGCUUAUGUAA
rnacentral:rRNA from 1 species